rnacentral:rRNA from 1 species
AGCUUGCUCCCUGAUGUUAGCGGCGGACGGGUGAGUAACACGUGGGUAACCUGCCUGUAAGACUGGGAUAACUCCGGGAAACCGGGGCUAAUACCGGAUGGUUGUUUGAACCGCAUGGUUCAAACAUAAAAGGUGGCUUCGGCUACCACUUACAGAUGGACCCGCGGCGCAUUAGCUAGUUGGUGAGGUAACGGCUCACCAAGGCAACGAUGCGUAGCCGACCUGAGAGGGUGAUCGGCCACACUGGGACUGAGACACGGCCCAGACUCCUACGGGAGGCAGCAGUAGGGAAUCUUCCGCAAUGGACGAAAGUCUGACGGAGCAACGCCGCGUGAGUGAUGAAGGUUUUCGGAUCGUAAAGCUCUGUUGUUAGGGAAGAACAAGUACCGUUCGAAUAGGGCGGUACCUUGACGGUACCUAACCAGAAAGCCACGGCUAACUACGUGCCAGCAGCCGCGGUAAUACGUAGGUGGCAAGCGUUGUCCGGAAUUAUUGGGCGUAAAGGGCUCGCAGGCGGUUUCUUAAGUCUGAUGUGAAAGCCCCCGGCUCAACCGGGGAGGGUCAUUGGAAACUGGGGAACUUGAGUGCAGAAGAGGAGAGUGGAAUUCCACGUGUAGCGGUGAAAUGCGUAGAGAUGUGGAGGAACACCAGUGGCGAAGGCGACUCUCUGGUCUGUAACUGACGCUGAGGAGCGAAAGCGUGGGGAGCGAACAGGAUUAGAUACCCUGGUAGUCCACGCCGUAAACGAUGAGUGCUAAGUGUUAGGGGGUUUCCGCCCCUUAGUGCUGCAGCUAACCGCAUUAAGCACUCCGCCUGGGGGAGUACGGUCGCAAGACUGAAACUCAAAGGAAUUGACGGGGGGCCCGCACAAGCGGUGGAGCAUGUGGGUUUAAUUCGAAGCAACGCGAAAGAUCCUUACCAGGUCUUGGA